rnacentral:rRNA from 1 species
AGUGAACGCUGGCGGUAGGCCUAACACAUGCAAGUCGAACGGCAGCACAGUAAGAGCUUGCUCUUACGGGUGGCGAGUGGCGGACGGGUGAGGAAUACAUCGGAAUCUACUUUUUCGUGGGGGAUAACGUAGGGAAACUUACGCUAAUACCGCAUACGACCUACGGGUGAAAGCAGUGGAUCUUCGGACCUUGCGCGAUUGAAUGAGCCGAUGUCGGAUUAGCUAGUUGGCGGGGUAAAGGCCCACCAAGGCGACGAUACGUAGCUGGUCUGAGAGGAUGAUCAGCCACACUGGAACUGAGACACGGUCCAGACUCCUACGGGAGGCAGCAGUGGGGAAUAUUGGACAAUGGGCGCAAGCCUGAUCCAGCCAUACCGCGUGGGUGAAGAAGGCCUUCGGGUUGUAAAGCCCUUUUGUUGGGAAAGAACAGCAGUAGGUUAAUACCCCGCUGUUCUGACGGUACCCAAAGAAUAAGCACCGGCUAACUUCGUG